rnacentral:rRNA from 1 species
GGCCUCAAAUCAGACAAGAGUACCCGCUGAACUUAAGCAUAUCAAUAAGCGGAGGAAAAGAAACUAACAGGGAUUCCCCUAGUAACGGCGAGUGAAGCGGGAACAGCUCAAAUUUUAAAUCUGGCUGCUUUGUAGUCCGAGUUGUAAUUUGAAGGAGUCUUGCCGCUGGCAAAACGAUGGCACAAGUCCUCUGGAACGGGGCAUCGUAGAGGGUGAGAAUCCCGUCUCUGGUCAUCACGCGCUGGCAUACGGCAGGCAUCCGAAGAGUCGAGUUGUUUGGGAUUGCAGCUCCAAAUGGGUGGUAAACUCCAUCUAAGGCUAAAUAUUGGCGAGAGACCGAUAGCGAACAAGUACCGUGAGGGAAAGAUGAAAAGAACUUUGAAAAGAGAGUAAAACAGUACGUGAAAUUGUUGAAAGGGAAACGAUUGAAG